ensembl:snRNA U6 U6 spliceosomal RNA
UUGCUGGACUCUCUUUGGCAGCACAGAUAGUGAAAUUGGAGUGUUACAGAGAAAAUUAGCAUGGCCCCUGCACAGGGAUGGCAUGCACAUUUAUGAAGCAUUCCCCCCCCCC